UACGUAGGUGGCAAGCGUUAUCCGGAAUUAUUGGGCGUAAAGCGCGCGUAGGCGGUUUUUUAAGUCUGAUGUGAAAGCCCACGGCUCAACCGUGGAGGGUCAUUGGAAACUGGAAAACUUGAGUGCGGAAGAGGAAAGUGGAAUUCCAUGUGUAGCGGUGAAAUGCGCAGAGAUAUGGAGGAACACCAGUGGCGAAGGCGACUUUCUGGUCUGUAACUGACGCUGAUGUGCGAAAGCGUGGGGAUCAA
rnacentral:rRNA from 1 species